AGCUAAACGUUGAGAAGGAAUAGUAGUGAUGAUCUCCUUGAUAAGAGAGUUGGCGGUCGGUGCAAGCCAAUCAGGAACAUCAUGAACUCACCUUGGAGUUGCAAAUGUGAACAUCAAUUAAGUAAUAUUUGCCGUUUUCCGCGUUAAGGAUGAAUGAAGUGAGUGGUUUACACUAAUUUGGGUGGUACCGCGGGAGAAUAUACAGCCUCUCGUCCCUUUA
rnacentral:ncRNA from 1 species